rnacentral:rRNA from 1 species
AUUGAACGCUGGCGGCAGGCCUAACACAUGCAAGUCGAACGAGUGGCGGACGGGUGAGUAAUGUCUGGGAAAAUGCCCGAUGGAGGGGGAUAACUACUGGAAACGGUAGCUAAUACCGCAUACCAUCAGAUGUGCCCAGAUGGGAUUAGCUAGUUGGUGGGGUAACGGCUCACCAAGGCGACGAUCCCUAGCUGGUCUGAGAGGAUGACCAGCCACACUGGAACUGAGACACGGUCCAGACUCCUACGGGAGGCAGCAGUGGGGAAUAUUGCACAAUGGGCGAAACCCUGAUGCAGCCAUGCCGCGUGUAUGAAGAAGGCCUUCGGGUUGUAAAGUACUUUCAGCGGGGAGGCGUUACCCGCAGAAGAAGCACCGGCUAACUCCGUGCCAGCAGCCGCGGUAAUAC